UUUUCACCACAUGUCAUCCGUAAACAAGUUGAUGCCAAUAUUCUGUCCUAAAAUCCUUAACCAAUAGGAACCGAUUAUGUAAUCUGAUCAUAAUUGAAGUAAAAGAACAUUCAAAUCAGAAUGCUGUCAACAAUUUUUGAUAAAACAAUGCAAGCCCAAAAAUGCUGAGAUUGAUAUGGCACUUAAAAUUCUGUCUAUUCUAUCUUAAAAUCUUAAGAAAUAAGUUGGCCUUAAUUCAACUUUAUAAAGCUAAGAUCAAAGAUGCUGACCACUUAUAACCACUAUUUAAACCCCCAAGGGGUUGGUCUGUGGUGAAGGCUUUGGUCCUGAGAUUGUGCUCCUCUCAAGGUCACAUGUUCGAAUUCCGUUAGGUGCAAACAAUUCCUGUGUUGGGCCAAGUUCAUACGGAGCCUUGCUCUGGCUUUAAGCAAGACGCCCGCAAGUGAACAGUGGGAUUGGUCUCCUUGGAUUAGUCAGGCAAAGGCAGAAUACCAAGAUUUCAGAAAAAAAAAACUUAUAACCACUAUUCAUAUCAUAUUACUAUCCAAGUCAUGACUUUCAACAUUCUAUAAUGUAACAUUCAUUCAGUUCCCUAAUUGUUUUACAAUAUAACUCCUUUUCAUGUUUCGAAUUUAGAAAGUGAAUUCAUAAGUAUUUUACAGGUGACCAUAAGUAACCACAAAAUGCGCAACAGUUCGAAGAAACAUUUCAACAAACAGUUAAUGGGCAUUCAACGUAAAGACAUAUAUUACAUAAAAACCAAAAUAAAAUUAUUAAAACAUGUCACUAGAUCAAAUGGGUUUUCAACGGUGUGAAAAAUUUCAAUGUAGAAUGGCAUGUUAGGAAGAGAUUGUUGGUUUAGUAGAGGUACAAAAGAGUGAAUUAGAAUUGACUAAGAAGGGUGAAACAGUGCAAUUAGAAUAUUGAAGAAGCGGAGAAGAUGAAUAACCUGAUGAUGAGAUUGGAAGUUGUGCUAUACGCAUGCAUCGGUGAUGAUAAGAAGCUAGAAUUUAGCUGUGUUUUGGAAAAUGCUUGAAGCCAUAACUGGAAAAUGCAAUUUACUCUAUUUCUUUCUUUCUUUGGAAAAUGAACCGUUU
rnacentral:lncRNA from 1 species